AGUGAACAAAACACAAAAUUCACCCAUUUUGGGUGGGCAUCGAUCGAACAGAGAGAGAGGGGGCGACCAGGAGAAAUUUCCAAACCCUAAAAUCUCAUAAUCUUGCAAAUUGAAGGAUUAAUCCAAGUAGAAAUCGAGAAUUGAGCCUAGAAUCAUAAUCCUCAUCACAAGAGGAUUGUAAGGGAAGGAAGCCGGGGCAUCUAGCGGACAAACCGGUGUGGAUGCACGUUUGAAGGGUUUACUUUAAAGGUAAUUAGGUGGGUCUCAUGGAUGGCGAUCAAGUGAUUAAAUGAAGAACCGAACACUCCAUUUUGAAGCUUCCGCAAUGUCUUAAAUCUUUUGUAGUUUUGUGUAUGGGUGUUGAACACGGGUUGAACGAAUUAUAAAACGAUUUGCCUUGGUCAUUAGUUGACUAAGGUCUUGUUACU